UGUCAAAGUUCAAGAUCUUCCAAUGUUAAUGAGGACACCAUACGAGAAGAGGUAGAAAGACAAUAUAAGACUAAGAUAGAUGAUCUUAAGGCUAAGCAUGAAUCUGAAAUUGAAGAUCUCCGAUCCAAGUAUAGUGAAGUCAGUUCGAAACUCCAUCUCGUGAUGACUCAUAUUGGUUUCCAUGUUAACACAUCACCAAGUGGAAGUGGACAGGCUCCAAAUACAUCAAGCCAUCUACAAGAAACAUAUGGGAGUAAUGAGCAACAACCUCAGUUAGACCCAGAACCAUAGAAACAAUUGCUUCAUAAAAGGUUUGCAUGGAGAUUGUGAUGAAGAGUCUUGAUCAUAAUUAAACUCUUGAAUAUGUUGGAGCAUAUUUGAAAA